rnacentral:rRNA from 1 species
GGGCCCGCACAAGCGGUGGAGCAUGUGGUUUAAUUCGAUGAUACGCGAGGAACCUUACCAGGGCUUAAAUGUAAGUUGCAUAAGUUAGAGAUAGCUUUUUCUUCGGACUACUUACAAGGUGCUGCAUGGUUGUCGUCAGCUCGUGCCGUGAGGUGUCAGGUUAAGUCCUAUAACGAGCGCAACCCCUGUUGUUAGUUGCCAUCGAGUAAUGUCGGGAACUCUAACAAGACUGCCGGUGCAAACCGUGAGGAAGGUGGGGAUGACGUCAAAUCAUCACGGCCCUUACGUCCUGGGCUACACACGUGCUACAAUGGUCGGUACAGAGAGCAGCCACUACGCGAGUAGGAGCGAAUCUUCAAAGCCGAUCACAGUUCGGAUCGGAGUCUGCAACUCGACUCCGUGAAGCUGGAAUC